CACAGGAUUUAACUUCACUCCAGACGAAGACGACAUGUCGUCAGGACAAGAAAGAGCUGAACUUGACGCCAAGGCCAGGCAAGGACAGACUGUUGUCCCCGGUGGCACCGGUGGCAAAAGCCCUGAAGCCCAAGAACAUCUCGCCGAAGGUAAAGCUUUCUAAAUUUUUAAUAAUGGAGAAACAAUCCAAAACGCAAAAUAUAAUUCUUAUAUGUAAUUAUUUUGCGGCUCGGGCAUUGGGGUCAUGUGACAUUUUCGUUAGUUGGUGCGCGUUAUUUGAAAAUAAUCAUAGAUUUCUUAACUGUAUAAUGACUAUCUAUAUAUAAAAUUGGGUGGUCGUAUCAUAAUGAAAAUAUUUUUCGUGGUUUGUGCUUUUAUAUAUUCUCUGGUGAUUGUUAGUGUUGUUUUGGAUGUUAUUGAAAGUGAAGGGCGGAGCCGGGGAGGGCAGACGAGGAAGGAGCAGCUGGGGACAGAAGGAUACCAAGAGAUGGGCGGGAAAGGCGGGCUGAGCACUGGAGACCAGUCCGGCAGAGAACGUGCGGCGCAAGAGUGGGGUAUCGACGUCAAUGAGUCUAAGGUCACGACUAC
rnacentral:lncRNA from 1 species